UGAGGACCAGGUUCUCCUCUCUCACCAGGACUGCCACUAGCACCAGCAGGGCCAGGAGGACCAGCUUCACCCUAAGGAAGAACAGCAGAAGUGAAAAAUGAAUGGGUUUCAGUCAUGACUCCAGGGGAAUCAUCUUCAUGGCUUCUUUCUCUCCUUUGCAUGAUUUAAGAAAAACACUACCGUGUCACCUGGGUGCAAGAGCCAGAUCAUUUCAGCUAUCCAAAGCUGAGGCACAUGAUCCCAAUACAUUCCAACAAACACAUGCUGCAUGGCUCCUUUGUGGAAAGUUCACUUGAGACUCUCCCAUAAAGCUGCAAAAAGCAGUAGAUCUACCACUGCACUGUAUUUUAGGGUGGGUGUUUUUGAAGAUCAGCUCAUGCUGCAUAUGAAAACAUAUCAGUUCUAUGUUUGUGAACAGUGUGACAGCAGCCAGAAAAAGGAGUGCCCAUAAAGUGAAGAUGUAUGGUGACAGUUGUCCAACUGGAAAAAGGACAAAAUCUCAUGUUAGCACAUAUAUUUAGCUAAAUACCUUAAAACCUGGAGAGCCCGGAAAUCCUGCAGUUCCAGGGGGACCUGGAGGACCAGGUGGGCCUGCCGCUCCAGGAGCUCCAUCUUUGCCAUGGGCACCAGGGCCACCAGGAUUUCCAGGUCUUCCUCUUUCACCAGUUGGACCUCUUGGUCCCGGUUGGCCUGGUGAUCCAUUUGCUCCAGGUUGACCAGCUUCACCCUUUGGACCAGGAGCACCACUGUCACCUUUGGCACCAUCUUUUCCAUCAAAACCUCGUGCACCUUUCAUUCCAGGCAUUCCAGGCAUUCCAGGGUGUCCCUUGUGACCCGGUAAUCCAGGGAUUCCACGGUCUCCAUUCCUUCCUGGUCUUCCUGGUUCUCCAUCUUUUCCUGGUGGGCCAGCUGGGCCUAUCAUUCCAGCAGGGCCUGGAGGACCAGAAGGGCCAGGUUGUCCUGGUUCUCCAGGGGGGCCUUGGUAUCCGUUAGAGCCCGGGGGACCUGCAUGACCAGGUGGACCAGGUGGGCCACUGGGGCCAGGGGGUCCCGGAAAGCCACUAAUGGGCUGGGGAGGAUAACCCAUGCCAACUGAGCCAGCCUUCACAUCAUAGGAGUCAUACUGUGGAGAGAAACUACCUCCACUGAUGCUGGGACAUGACUGGCAGAUACCAGGUGGACCGGGAGCUCCGGGGCUCCCUGGCUGUCCUGGGGGCCCAGGUGCACCAGUUCUGCCCGGAGAACCAGGGGAGCCUGGGUCUCCCUUGGGGCCUUGCGUAUAUGGAAGUUUUGUAGGCUGUGGUGUUGUCUGCGGGCAAACUGGACAGCAUUCUCCGAAGGGGAUCUCUGGGUUGGGACAGUCUAACUCCUGGUCAUCACAGAUGAUGUCAUCACAGAGAACAGAUCCAGAGUCACACACACAGAUUUGGCAUGGCUCUGGUUUCCAAACAUCCCUGUCAGCAUAUUCCUGCCCAAGAUGGGUACAUCCUCCUAGGGCGUCCUGUUGUGCCAAAAUAACUGAGGGUUGAAACACGGCAAGAAUGAACAAACUUACUUUUUGCACAAAGCUCAUCAUGUCUAAAUAUUAGACAUGAGACUCUCUGUGCAAAAAGAAAAAUGGGGGGGAAAGAAAAAUCUAUUCAAAUUAACAACAUCGGUUGUUCCCUGCCCUUCCAGCACCGGGCCAUGUACAGAACUCAGCCACAAGCAUUCCCCAGCUUUGGCCUUAAAUAGGAAAAAAAUUGGCUUACUUUACUUUUCCACCCCCUUUACUGAAAUUUGAGAAGACGACCCAUCCCCUAACACUAAAUGAAUGAUUAAUAUUUCUUUUGGCUUUACAGAAGAAUAAAGUCAACUAAACAAGAUACACAGCACAUCUGGAGCUUUUGUGCGUGCCUGAAGUGCAUGCUGAGCCCAUAUACGCGCAGAUAGUGCACGCUGUGUGCGAGAUGUAUGGAUGUGAGAAAAGGAAUCCAGCCGUAACCUCCCUGGGGCAAAGUAUUUUUCAUGCAAAUCAGCAGUCACUGGGUACAGCCCAAACACAAUUUUUAAUUCUUAGUGUUUCCCAUUUGAAAUGAAAGGUGAGUGCCUUAGGUGACCCCACAAACUGAGAAAUCUCAGCUCUGCAUACCUAGGAAUUUUUGCUGAGGAGCCAUCAGAGUUAGUGAAGGGGGGGGGACCAAAAAUUGCAACACUUCUGUUACAGUGCUUUUCUCACGUCAGGAUUUAGUGUGACCUAGGGAGAAAUGUCACAUUAUAUAAAAUAAUUAAAAAAUAUUAUUCAGAGGCACUGAUUUCACAAACUAAUACUUCCAAAAUAAUUCAGCUUGAUGAUAUUAUUACUGUAUUUGGAAGGAAUGCAGAACAAAUACCAUCUUUUUCUUUACUGUCUGCUCCUCAAACAGGAGGACAUAGCUGAAAAUAAAUCCUGAGACUACUAUUUUUAUUAGCCUCAUUUC
rnacentral:lncRNA from 1 species